GACGAACGCUGGCGGCGUGCCUAAUACAUGCAAGUAGAACGCUGAAGGAGGAGCUUGCUUCUCUGGAUGAGUUGCGAACGGGUGAGUAACGCGUAGGUAACCUGCCUGGUAGCGGGGGAUAACUAUUGGAAACGAUAGCUAAUACCGCAUAAGAGUAGAUGUCGCAUGACAUUUGCUUAAAAGGUGCAAUUGCAUCACUACCAGAUGGACCUGCGUUGUAUUAGCUAGUUGGUGAGGUAACGGCUCACCAAGGCAACGAUACAUAGCCGACCUGAGAGGGUGAUCGGCCACACUGGGACUGAGACACGGCCCAGACUCCUACGGGAGGCAGCAGUAGGGAAUCUUCGGCAAUGGACGGAAGUCUGACCGAGCAACGCCGCGUGAGUGAAGAAGGUUGUCGGAUCGUAAAGCUCUGUUGUAAGAGAAGAACGAGUGUGAGAGUGGAAAGUUCACACUGUGACGGUACCUUACCAGAAAGGGACGGCUAACUACGUG
rnacentral:rRNA from 1 species